rnacentral:rRNA from 1 species
GAGCGGCAAGAGCUCAGAUUUGGAAUCGUGUUUCGGCACGAGUUGUAAAUUGCAGGUUGGAGUCUUUGUGGAAGCGUGUGUCCAAGUCCCUUGGAACAGGGCGCCAUUGAGGGUGAGAGCCCCGUGGGAUGCGCGCGGAAGCAGCAAGGCCCUUCUGACGAGUCGAGUUGUUUGGGAAUGCAGCUCUAAGCGGGUGGUAAAUUCCAUCUAAGGCUAAAUACUGGCGAGAGACCGAUAGCGAACAAGUACUGUGAAGGAAAGAUGAAAAGCACUUUGAAAAGAGAGUGAAACAGCACGUGAAAUUGUUGAAAGGGAAGGGUAUUGGGCCCGACAUGGGGAUUGCGCAUCUCUGCUCCUUGUGGGCGGGGCGCUGUGCUUUUCCUGGGCCAGCAUCGGUUUUUGCCGCAGGAGAAGGGGUACUGGAAUGUGGCUCCUCGGAGUGUUAUAGCCAGUGCCAGAUGCUGCGUGCGGGGACCGAGGGCUGCGACAUCUGUCUCGGAUGCUGGCACAACGGCGCAAUACCGCCCGUCUU